ensembl:lncRNA
GACGCUUGUGUGCGUGAGAGUCAAGAGCUGCUCGCGAGCGUGUGUGCAGCAGAGUCUGUCGCCUCCACAGCAGGUGUGUGUGUGUGUGUGUGUGUGUGUGUGCGCGCGCGCGGCUUCACUCGAGGACACUCUCAGGAUGUAACGUUGUGUGGAUUAGUCUGUUUGGACGCGCGAGACUGGGGUUCAUAACGCGUGGAAUAAUCUCGCUUUCCAGGACUGACAGAAGACACAGCAGGAACCAGUGCUCGGUGGGUCCACCCUGACUUCGUGUCGCGCUUCCUGAAGAAAGGAAAAGCCCUGAUGUGCUUGUCACCUGAGCUGACGGCCGGGGCUGCGUGAUGGAGGCCGAAUGUCUUCACUUGGUCCCUCUUCAGACACUCAAAGGCCGCUCUGUUUCAGCCUGAUGACGAGCCGAUUGGAUAUAAUCUUGAGCAGCGGACUCAGGAGAUGGGGAGGAAUAGGGAAACUCUACAGUAGGCUUUGCAGGGAAGGAUCGUCUUUCUCCAGAAGUAGGAAACGAGCGUCGGAGGGUUCCUGCUGCCAGUCGGCUCUCUCCUCCUGUUACGACACGGGACCAAAUUCAAACCAUGUGUCCUCGCACCCGGUUAGCUGCUUUUGCCCACCUCUAGCAUUAGCAGUCUGGACGGAUCCAUUUCACUGCCCCUCUCCCGUGUAGCGUUCUCAUUCUCCCAGCCCCAAAUGAGCCUCUCCGUGGGACUCCUGCCUUAAUAGGCUGGAACUUUCCCAUGUCCGGUCUCCAAAGGUGGCUGUUAUCCUCCGAGGGCCCCUGUGCGAGUUUCAAGCUCGGGCUCAUGUUAUGAGCCGGGCGAGGUGGACUCCGGGAUGUCAGAUGUGAUGCUUCACACAGAUUUUCACGUUUGCCUCAUGUUGGGUGGUCGUCCCGGGCCGGCGAGACUGUAAUCCUCCAGCACAUGCAUCAUAGUCCAGUUCUGCUUAACCACCACACAGUCACACCUGCAUGAACUAGCUUCCAGCUAUCUACACCAG